AGUCCUGGAUCCAAGUUUCCUACACAGGAUGGUGUGUGGCGGUUAGAAGAUGCUGUGCCAAGAUUUUGUUGACCAGAUGUACAGAAUGCUCCAAUCUCAAGCAGUGCAUUCAAGUUUUUCCAAGGGCUGUGUUUGCAUAAUUGUGAACAGGCCUUUGUUCACCAGCUAUACAAGACCAAGCUGACCUGAUCUAAUUGUAAUCAGCCUUUCCUGACUGCCCACCAACCCAUCAGAGGCUGAAGCCCUGGAGUCACAGGACUGGUUGCCCUGAUAACACCAUGGACAUGCUCAUGCUACCAUUUGGAAGAAAAAAAAAAAAAGGUUCCUAACGGCUAAAACCAGCCCAGUAAAUAUGGAAAACAAAUCUUAAAAUUACUUCAAACAGUCUCCCUUCCUAAAGAAAUUAAGGUUGCUCAGCCUUGGAGCAUUAGCUUGCUGAGUUGCACCGGUGCCAAUAAACAUUGCUUCCUGAAAUAG